rnacentral:rRNA from 1 species
UACAGAGGUCGCAAGCGUUGUUCGGAUUCAUUGGGCGUAAAGGGUGUGUAGGUGGCGCCGUUAGUCGGGUGUGAAAUUUCGGAGCUUAACUCCGAAACUGCAUUCGAUACUGCGGUGCUUGAGGACUGGAGAGGAGACUGGAAUUCAUGGUGUAGCAGUGAAAUGCGUAGAGAUCAUGAGGAAGACCAGUGGCGAAGGCGGGUCUCUGGACAGUUCCUGACACUGAGACACGAAGGCCAGGGGAGCAAACGGG